AGAGAACCAAAUACUGAUCCUCCAAACACAAAAACUGGAAAAUAUUAAUUUUCUUUUUCCCCCUUUGAGCUGGCUCAAAAGAACUAAAGGCUAAUGAAAAAGUCUUGUAGUAAUUAGAUGAUUUGAUUAGGUUUACUUUAUUAUUGCCUUGUGGGAGAAAAGCAGUCUUAGGCAAAUUUCUAAAGAUGAUGAAUUACCCACUUUUCAAUGGGGUUAGGUUUGAGAUGAUGCAAGAGUGGGGUUACUCUUGUGAAGUGUAAUUAUAUUAGUCAAAUUAAUUUUUAUUUUGAAGAUAGAAAAUUAAUAAAG
rnacentral:misc_RNA from 1 species